ACGUAGGGAGCGAGCGUUGUCCGGAAUUACUGGGCGUAAAGGGCGUGUAGGCGGGAAUUUAAGUAAGGUGUGAAAACUCCGGGCUUAACCCGGAGACUGCACUUUAAACUGGAUUUCUUGAGGGCAGGAGAGGAAAGUGGAAUUCCUAGUGUAGCGGUGAAAUGCGUAGAUAUUAGGAGGAACACCAGUGGCGAAGGCGACUUUCUGGACUGUACCUGACGCUGAGGCGCGAAAGCGUGGGGAGCGAACAG
rnacentral:rRNA from 1 species